CGGGAGAGGAGAGGAAGCGGCCACCCAACCCCCAACCCCAGCCUAGCCCCAGCCCGUUUCCCUCCCCACCCAUGCCGCCGCCGCCGGAGCCACCCACCGCCCCGCCUCCCUCACACAGACCUCGCCGCCGGCCAUGGCCUUCCCCAACAGCCGCCGCUCCGACCCUCUCCCCCUCCCCUCCCCUUAUCACAAGACAAGAGAAGAGAAGAGGGAGGGAAAUCGAUCGCGACUGAGCAGGUCAGGCGGCGACAAUAGCGCGCCCAGACCCGCCAGCGCCGUCGUCGUCGAGCUGGGCUGGGCGGCGCAGUCCGGUAGAGUAGGAAUGAGGGGGCGGUGGGACGCCUCCCCUGCUCGAGCUGCUCCAAGCGAGCGACCACAGCGCCGGAUCCACCUCCAGAACCACCCACCGGCGGCCACGGAAGGUCAGGGACCUUCGUCCGGUCCGUGUGCUUCUUCUCCAUGGAGCUGCGACACCGCAGCAGCCGCAUCCAUGGAAGUGCCGACGCCAUGGACCUCGUCAAUAGUGGUUUGCUGCUGCCGCCGACCGUUUCCCUGACAAGUUGACACCAAAGCCACCAUUGUCAAAGUCGCCGUUGGCCGGCGUUGCCACUGGUCGCUGCUCCACGCAUCUUGUCGGUGCUGCGAGGCGAUGCCAUCUGCAUCUGUUGCUGCAGCCUGGGAGGUGGCAGGGUCUCAAGGUGAUGCCCUCUUUGCUGCCCAAUGCCAUAGGACGAGAUCCUCUGCUGCUGCUGUGUCUGGUGGUUGAAGAAGGGGUGUGUUGGGAAGAGAAGGCAGUGUUGAGAGUGCUAGAUCUGGAACAGGACGAGCUUGGGCUGCAUCGGCUCUGGUUCUCAACCUCCAACAUGAGUCCCUUUCUUCCGUGCCUCGAACGCCACGAGUCAUCAUGGGCACUGCAGAUGCGGAGGAGUUUUACCCGGGCGAUCUGAUUGUUCCCGGCCGCGCUGGUGUCAACUACCUCGAGCCACUAUGACCAUCCCAACCACGCUCACCCCCCUGAACGAAUUGUUUGUGGAUCUGCAAAGGGGGAUUCAAUUAAUUUUCAGUUGUAGAAAAGGGAGAAGGGGGAUUCAAUUAAUUUUCCUCCUCAAGAUCAAAGAAACAAAAUCUUUGUGGCGAUGAUAGAAGGGGUUCACGACUUCACGUUAAUACACAGACUAUUGGUAAGGGCAUUAAAACAUAUAUCUGGUGUGAAAUGGUCGUACAUGCUUGAUUAGAAUAUUUUCAAGUGUUGUAGGUGUACGGCUGUGGGGAAACAUUUUCAUGGUCUAAUUUUCUAAUUAAUGUAUGCACGAGACAUGAAUCUUGGAUUCUAAACUUUUUCCUCGA